rnacentral:rRNA from 1 species
GAUGAACGCUGGCGGCGUGCCUAAUACAUGCAGGUCGAGCGAAGCGGGGACGGGUGAGUAACACGUGGAAAACCUCCUAUAAGACUGGGGUCACUUAGAGAAACCGGAGCUAAACCGGAUACUAAUAGAUGGAUCCUCUCUGCAUUAUCUAGUUGGUAAAGUAACGGCUUACCAAGGCAACGAUGCAGAGUCGACCUGAGAGGGUGAGCGGCCACACUGGAACUGAGACACGGUCCAGACUCCUACGGGAAGAAGUAGUAGGGAAGCUUCCGCAAUGGGCGAGAGCCUGACGGAGCCAAGCCGCGUGAGUGAUGAAGGUCUUCGGAUCGCAAAACUUUCUUAUUCGGGAAGGUGUACAUAAUCAGAAAGACACGGCUAACUACUCGCCAGCAGGCGCGGUAAUAC